UGACGUAAAACGUAAUGUCCUCUGAUUGUAUUAAACGAAAACUAGUUCGAACAAAUGUUAUAUUAAGGUAACUUCUGGUUUCAUUUAGGGCACUUCUUGUUGGAAUAAGGUCACUUCCGGUUUAUUUGGGGCACUUCCGGUUUAAUUUUGGUCUCUUCCGGUUUGCCUGAGGUCACUUCCGAUUUAAAUAGGUCGCUUCCGGUUUAUUUGUGUCACUUCCGGUUUACGUGAGGUCACUUCCGGUUUGAUUUGGGGUCACUUCCGAUUUAGCAGAGGUCACUUCCGGUUUAUUUGGGGUCACUUCCGGUUUGAUUUGGGGUCACUUCCGGUUUACCUGAGGUCACUUCCUGUCUAUUUGGGGUCACUUCCGGUUUGAUUUGGGGCACUUCCGGUUCAUUCUGGGUUCAUUGGGCGCACUUCAGGGUCAAUCCAAGAUGGCCGCCACACUGGAAGUGGG